GGAUAUUGCGCAAUGGGCGAAAGCCUGACGCAGCGACGCCGCGUGGGUGAAGAAGGGUUUCGGCUCGUAAAGCCCUUUUCUGCGUGACGAUAAUGACGGUAGCCCAGGAAGAAGUGUCGGCUAACUACGUGCCAGCAGCCGCGGUAAAACGUAGGACGCGAACGUUAUCCGGAAUUACUGGGCGUAAAGGGCGCGCAGGCGGUUGGGUAAGUUAGGCAUGAAAGCUCCCUGGCUAAACCGGGAGAGGAUGUCUGAUACUGGUCAACUAGAGUACGAUAGAGGGGUGUAGAAUUCCGCGUGUAGUGGUGAAAUGCGUAGAGAUGCGGAGGAAUACCAGUGGCGAAGGCGGCACCCUGGAUCGAGACUGACGCUGAGGCGCGAAAGCAUGGGUAGCGAACGGG
rnacentral:rRNA from 1 species